rnacentral:sRNA from 1 species
AUGAGAAUAUCAUCCCUUGUUUAUUACUAUUUUGUCGAUGGCAAUAAAAUAAAAUAUGGCGGGCGCGGCCAUUAUUAAGGGCUUCUGUUGUAUUAGAGAGAGCACGCUGAAAACUGUUAAGAAGUUAUUUGUUUUGCUAUCAAAUAAUUACUGAAAGGCUAAAAUGCGACGUAAAAGUGAGCGUACCGCAAGCAAAAAAGGGAAGGCUUCACCAGAGAAAAAGGUUGAGAAGGUAAAACGUACUAGAACUAGACGUACUAGAAAGCAGUCAUCAUCUACGGAGAACGAAUCUGCUGAUGAAGGGAGUCCAGUUAGGGAAGUUGAAAGUGCCGGUGAUGCAGAAAAGAAGCCACCAGUAACACCCGCUAAAGAAGACAGCCCUGAAGAAGCCCAGGAUCAAGUGUGGCGUGUUAAAACUACUGAGGCCUCUGGUGAUAUUAAAAAACUGAAAAUAUGUCUGACGCGACCGCCAUCUACGCCAGAAAGAGUCGAUAGAUCUCCACGUAGCAAAAGAAAGCAUUCCCGCGCGACUAGCUCUAGCGAUACUCCAAGUGUAGAGGGUGUGGAUGAUAAAAAGAAGACUAGGCAUCGCUCCAAACGGUUAGCUCGAGACUCUAAAGAGGGUUCUGAAAAGAAUGACAGUCAUGGAGAAGAGGUUGAACAUCAAGAUCAUGAUAAGUCUAGUGACGAAGUUACUCAGAGCGAGACAGUUGAAGAAACCGAGACUCCCAUGUCUACUACUAACGAAGAAACAAAAGUUACUGAAAAUUUGAUACAAUCCAGUCAAGAAGUACCUGAAAGUAAUGAAACAUCUAAGGUAAUUGAGACCCAGGAUACUGAAAAGGCUUCUGAUGCUGAUACAACUGUUGCUUCACCUAAAGAUGAAACAAGAGUUGCAUCACCACCAGCAGAACCAAUUGUUGAAUCUAACACUGAUAGCCAAGAAGUACAACCAUCUGAUAUAACUGAGACCAAAAGUCCUGAACAUGCUAAUGUCACAGAGAAGGAAAGCCCAAUACGUCAGAGAGAAGAGUCUGUUGAGAAGUCCGAAGUUCUAGAAUUGCAUGCUGAUGAUAGUAAAUGUGAAUCUUCCGAUAAUGAGGCCAGCCAAUCUAAAGAGGAACCUAAGGAUGAACCAACAGUCACCCAAGAAGAGACCACUGCACCUGAAGAACAAAAGGUAAGUAUAGUAAAUGAAGAAAGUAUCAGUAAGGACACUGAGAAAAUUGAUUCUGAUGGCAAACAAGCUAUUAAUCAACCUGAUGUUGUAGAGAGUUCUGACAAAGUAGCAAAAGAAACAAAUGAACAAGAAAUCACUACCAAAACGGAAGACCAACCGCCUGUGGAAAAACCUAAAGAUGAAACUGAACAAGAACCUAAUAAGACAAAGGAGCCACAAACACCAAUUGAAUCUGUAAAACCUACAAAAGAUGAGCCUAUUGCUAAUGGUCAAACUGCCCCUGUUUCAGUGGGCAGGAAGAGAAGGUGGGGCUCCAGGAGCUCUAAACUUACAACCCAAAAGUCAAUAACAAUAUCAACAGAUGUGUUAAAGGAUAUUAUUCCAGAUGUGAAGCCCGUGGAGUUUGAUGAAGUUAUAGAAGAGAAAAAACACAAAAGAACAGAAAAUCAGGAAAGAAUUGAGAGACCUGUGCUUCCAAAGAUUAUAAUUGAUAAUACAGAAAAUGUGGAAUUGAAAAAGGAAUCUGAGGAAAAGGAAAAAGACCCUCAUACUCCUAAGCCAAGAGAUUUAGCUUCCAAUAGAAAAAUAUCUAUAAUUAAAGAUAAUGAUAGUAUAAUAGCAAGACCUCCAAGUCCGCCUAGAAAUAAACAGUCCUGUAUAUUGUAUAUCACUAAUUUAGUGAGACCAUUCACAUUACCACAACUGAAAAAUCUAUUACAAAGAACUGGAAGGAUUACUGAGAACGGAUUUUGGAUAGAUAGGAUCAAGUCAAAAUGUUUUGUUCAAUAUGAAACUGAAGAUCAAGCAGUAGAGACGAGGCAUGCGUUACAUGGUGUUACAUGGCCAGUCUCAAAUCCCAAGACACUCCAAGUUGACUUUUCAACACAAGAGGCUUUUGAUAAGGCAAAGAUAAAUGAAGAGACAGACACUGCACCAGUUUCAACUAUCCCUGGAACUGUGGAGGACUGGCUUCGGGAGCAAGACAUGAAGAGGGAACGUGGGGACCUGGAAAAGCCAUGGGAGCGGAAGACGGCAACUCGGGAAUGGGAUCUUGGCAAGAAUGAUAAAGAUAAGGACAAGGAUAUUAAGCUAAGGCGUGACGAACGUCCCAUUGAUAAGAGACGGCAUAGAUCGCCAGAAAAGAGUCCGGAACCAGCGAGGAAAUUCAAGAAGAAAGAAGAAGAAGCUCCCGCUAAGCUGUUAGAUGACUUAUUUAGAAAGACUAAAACAACACCAUGCAUAUACUGGCUGCCGCUCUCAGCUGAAACGAUAGCAAUAAAGGAGGAACAGCGGCGCCAGCACAUGGCGGAGCACGAGCGCCGGCUGCAGGAGCUGCGCCGGACGCACCGCCGCCACUAGCAUGUACCUACCUACCUACUAGUAGUAGAAAAUGUAGCGCGGGCUUCAUGGUGGUGCUUGCUGGCCGCGCUGGUGGCGACCGCCACUGCUCAGCAGAACUUCACCAUUGGCGACUUCCUGUCUGGACAGUUUACCCAAAGGGGAUUUACCGGCAGAUGGAUUUCCGACUUUGAGUUCACAUAUACCGUCGCCGGAGAACCCGGCAUCUACGUGUUCAAUGUCAAUACUCUCACCGGCAGCGUCCUGGUACCUGGGGAGCUGAUGGAAUUCCUGAACACCAACAACCCAAUCUUGUCGGCAGACAGGCAGUACAUUCUGGCUUCAAGCGAAGUCGAGUCGGUUUACAGAUACUCGACGACAGCCAAGUACUCCCGCUACGAAAUCGCCACGAACACUGUCACUCAGAUCGCGAACCACCAGCGCCUGCAGUUGUGCAUUUUCGGCGGCGGCCACUCCCUCGCCUAUGUCCUGGACAACAACGUGUACUAUCUCCCUGAGAACAGACAGGAGGCCAUUCAGAUCACAACUGAUGGCAUUCCUGGGGUAUAUUAUAAUGGACACGCUGAUUGGGUGUAUGAAGAGGAUGUCAUGUACACCGGCCAAGCUACAUGGUUCUCCACUGAAGGUUCGUACCUGGCCUUCGCGACUUAUGACGACACCGAGGUGGAGAGCUACUCCUACUACUACUUCCUGGACAACACUGAUGAAGGACGUCUGUACCCCGAGCUCGUAGACCUCAAGUAUCCUAAGGUCGGCCGCAAGAACCCAACAGCAAUUCUUCGCGUGGUGAACCUAGCUAACUUGGUAGCGACCAACACUCCGACCUUCAUAACCCUGCAGCCACCAGAGGCAGUCACAGCAGACCAUAUCCUCGGCGGAGUGACCUGGAUCACUGAUACGGAGAUCGCCACACACUGGCUGAACAGGCGACAGAAUUACACCGUGUUGAGGAUCUGCAAUAUUGUUACUUUGGAUUGUGAGGAAGAGCAUCGCCAACAGCCAAAUGGCUGGGUUCCCAUCGCUCUACCCCGCUUCAGCAGUAAAGGCGACUUCUUCGUGUCCACCCGCUGGUCUCUGCCCCAGGCCGAUGGUAACAUCUGGCAGCAACUGUACGUGAGCAUUCGCGUCAAUGGGGAGAUCAUCUCGAGCUCCGUCACUCCUGGCGCUUUUACCGUCAAUAAUUACAUUGGCAUGGAUGAAACUACGCUGUCUUACUACUACACCCGCACAGUGACAGGCGAGCCCUGGGAGACGCAAGUGCACGUCACCGGUGCUGGUACUGGCUGCCUCAGCUGCGACCUGGAGAUGCCUGACGGAGGCCGGUGCACCUGGGCCACCGCCACGCUCAGCCACGGCGGCUCCUACAUGACCAUCACCUGUUCCUCGAAUGAAGAACCUUCGGCUACCUUUAUUUAUAAUCCUAGGACAAGACAAGUCUUAUACACCUGGGAAGAUAACGCCAUCGUCCGCCAACGUCUUGUAGGCAGAGCACGUUGGCAGAGCAUCAUCACCACCGUGCCCCUGCAGAACGGCUUCCCCGCCCCCGUGAGGCUGCUACUGCCCCCAGGCUUGGACGUCAAUGACACACUCACAAAAUAUCCCAUGAUAUUCUACGUGUACUCCGGUCCUAAUACCAAUACGGUGUUCAAUACUUUUACAGUUGGUUACCACUCAUACCUGACGACAAGCCGCAACAUCAUCUACAUGUUGGCCGACGGGCGCGGCUCCGGCCUCAAGGGACAAGACAUCCUGUACUCGCUCAACAACGCGCUCGGAACUGUCGAGAUUGAGGACCACUUCGUUAUUCUCAAACAAGUCCUGGACCGUUACCAGUUCAUAGACCGUUCGAGGGUCGGUAUCUGGGGCCACAGCUACGGCGGGUACGCCACGCUGCUGACUCUACUCCAUGAUGACGAGCAUCUGUUCCAGUGUGGAGUCUCCGGAGCUCCUGUGACGUCAUGGAUUUAUUAUAACACGAUGUACACAGAGCGUUACAUGGGUCUACCCACCGAGGAAGACAACCUCAAAGGUUACCAAGACGGUGACGUGAACCUCCUUGCUGAGAAACUCCGGGGACACGACUUCUAUCUCAUGCAUGGCAACGCUGAUGAUAAUGUACAUUAUCAGAACGCGGCCAAGCUUAUGCGAGCUCUGCAAGAGUUGGACAUUCCUUUUGAACAGAUGUCAUACCCUGAUGAAGCUCACAGUUUGGCUGGAGUGAACCCUCACAGGUAUAGUGCGAUGGAUCGCUACUGGACCCGUUGUCUCAGGCUGGAAGAUUGGUACUAAACUUAAUUAAUAAAUUAAAAUAUUCCAACAGUUCGUAAAGUAUCAAGAAUUUUAAUAAUACAUGGUAUUUUGUACACUGUUGAUCGUAUCACUUUCCAAUUCAACAUGGAUGAAAAUUGUACAUAAUAUACAAAAUAGCAAAUAACAAUAUGCUGUUGACGACGAUAUUAUAUUUAUUUUGUUCAAAUAAUUGCUAAGUUUAACUUUAUUAUAAACAUUUUCAAUAAAAUAUUUUUGUAGA